AACGAACGCUGGCGGCAGGCCUAACACAUGCAAGUCGAACGUGAAGCCACCUUCGGGUGGUGGAAAGUGGCAGACGGGUGAGUAACGCGUGGGAACGUGCCCUUCGGUUCGGGAUAACCCAGGGAAACUUGGGCUAAUACCGGAUACGCCCUCCGGGGGAAAGAUUCAUUGCCGAAAGAUCGGCCCGCGUCGGAUUAGCUAGUUGGUGGGGUAAAAGCCUACCAAGGCGACGACCCGUAGCUGGUCUGAGAGGAUGACCAGCCACACUGGGACUGAGACACGGCCCAGACUCCUACGGGAGGCAGCAGUGGGGAAUAUUGGACAAUGGGCGCAAGCCUGAUCCAGCCAUGCCGCGUGGGUGAAGAAGGCCCUAGGGUUGUAAACCCCUUUCAGCGGGGAAGAUAAUGACGGUACCCGCAGAAGAAGCCCCGGCUAACUCCGUGCCAGCAGCCGCAGUAA
rnacentral:rRNA from 1 species